rnacentral:rRNA from 1 species
UACGUAGGGAGCAAGCGUUGUCCGGAAUCAUUGGGCGUAAAGCGCGCGUAGGCGGCCCUGUAAGUCCGCUGUGAAAGUCAAAGGCUCAACCUUUGAAUGCCGGUGGAUACUGCAGGGCUAGAGUCCGGAAGAGGCAAGUGGAAUUCCUGGUGUAGCGGUGGAAUGCGCAGAUAUCAGGAGGAACACCAACGGCGAAGGCAGCUUGCUGGGACGGUACUGACGCUGGAGACGCGAAAGCGUGGGGAGCGAACAGG